rnacentral:tRNA from 1 species
GCCUGGGUGGCUCAGUCGGUUGAGCGUCCGACUCUUGAUUUUGGCUCAGAUCAUCAUCUCCUGGUUCGUGGGUUCGAGCCCUGCUUCGGGCU